ACCCAAAAUGACCCAAAACACCACAAAUGAUGAAACCUCUUCAUUUUCCCCGUACACAACACUCCACCAACCACCCCAGGGCGCCACCAGGCUGUCCCCGAGGUGCCACCCCCUGUCCCCAAGGUGGCACCGGGCUGUCCCCAAGGACUGUCACCCUGUGUCCCCAAACACCCCAGGACCUCCAUCCCCGUGACCUGGAGGUGACCCAGAACCAGGGGAGGUGACACAGAACCAGAGGAGGUGACCCAGAACCAGGGGAGGUGACCCAGGACCAGAGGAGGUGACCCAGAACCACAAGAAACGACCCAAAAUGACCCAAAACAAUGAAACCUCUUCAUUUUCCCUGUACACAACACUCCACCAACCACCCCAAGGUGCCACCAGGCUGUCCCCAGGGCACCACCAGGCUGUCCCCGAGGUGCCACCAGGCUGUCCCCAAGGUGCCACCAGGCUGUCCCCAAGGACUGUCACCCUGUGUCCCCAACCACCCCAGGGUCCCCAGGACCUCCAUCCCCAUGACCUGGAGGUGACACAGAACCAGGACAGGUGACCCAGAACCACAAGAAAUGACCCAAAAUGACCCAAAACAACGAAACCUCUUCAUUUUCCCCGUACACAACACUCCACCAACCACCCCAGGGCGCCACCAGGCUGUCCCCAAGGUGCCACCCCCUGUCCCCAAGGUGCCACCGGGCUGUCCCUCAGACGGUGGCCUCGCUGUCGGGGCUGUCCCCGCCGUCCAGCAGCGCGUAGGCCGCGUGGCUCUGGCAGGGGCGCUGCAGGGGAUGCGCCAGCAGCUUGGCCAUGCAGUUGUGCAGCUCCAGCGCCGGCCCCGCCAGCGCCACCUCGUACUUGUAGCUGGUGCCUUUGGUGUCCAGGCUGCCGAAAAACCCAAACAUGUCCUGCCAGAGGGGACAGGGGACGCUCAGGGAUGGGGACAAUCGGAUGGGUUUGUCUCCCCAGGGGGGAGGGUGAAGCGGAAUCGCGGAGGAAUUCUGGUUCUGACGGUGCCGAUGAGGAGGAAUUGGAUUUGGUCGCCUUGUUUUGAUUUAUGGUUUUGUUGUUUGUGUGUUGUUUGUUGCUGAAAUUUCUC
rnacentral:lncRNA from 1 species